rnacentral:rRNA from 1 species
GACGAACGCUGGCGGCGUGCUUAACACAUGCAAGUCGAACGGAAAGGCCCUGCUUUUGUGGGGUGCUCGAGUGGCGAACGGGUGAGUAACACGUGAGUAACCUGCCCUUGACUUUGGGAUAACUUCAGGAAACUGGGGCUAAUACCGGAUAGGAGCUCCUGCUGCAUGGUGGGGGUUGGAAAGUUUCGGCGGUUGGGGAUGGACUCGCGGCUUAUCAGCUUGUUGGUGGGGUAGUGGCUUACCAAGGCUUUGACGGGUAGCCGGCCUGAGAGGGUGACCGGCCACAUUGGGACUGAGAUACGGCCCAGACUCCUACGGGGGGCAGCAGUGGAGAAUAUUGCACAAUAGGAGGAAGCCUGAUGCAGCAACGCCGCGUGCGGGAUGACGGCCUUCGGGUUGUAGACCGCUUUCGCCUGUGACGAAGCGUGAGUGACGGUAAUGGGUAAAGAAGCACCGGCUAACUACGUG